AGUGAAAAAUGAGGAGGUGAUGAGAAUUCCCAAGACUAUGUCAAUCUGAGUUCUCAAGGAGGCUGAAAGCAUACAGAGAAAUCUUGCAUUUUGGAUUUAAGAGAACAGCAGAGCCUAGCCAUUUCAACCUGGGAGGACAGUCAUCCAUCUGGGGGACCAAGAAGAGAAGACAUCACCUGGGAAGCAGAGGCAAGUUGCAGUGGAUCAGUGGAAUUACCGAGUAAGUUUUUGGCUGCCUCUUUGACCCUAGAAUUGAUGUAAACAUUCCCACCUAUCCCCUCCUCCCAACACCGCAUUUGGAAUAUUUACCCCUAGGUCAGGAACAAGCAAAGUUUCCUAGUGAUCCUGCAGGGAUUUAUCACACAGCCUUGGCACGUUGAGGGUCAGAAAGGAAGCCAUCAAGACUUGUUGGAGCUGGUGUGUGCUUUCCAGAGAAUUGUGUUCUGACAGAGGCACAUUCACUGGGGAAGGCUGAACCAUGCCACAUGGCAGUAAAUGGCACAUGUUCCUACUAAGUCCUUUUGUUUCUAUGUGCUCACUUGCUAAAUGCAGGCUGACUAAGGCACCAUAGUAAAGGCACACUUUAGAGUAGAUAGGAGAAGCAGUCUCUUCCAGAAGUGUCCAGGGUCGACCACAGGGCUCAAGAGACAGGGAGUCCUUAACUCCUCUCCUCCCCCACAUGUCAUCUAACCCAAGAGCCUGUGAGACUCCCUUCAGUCCUCACAACAGGCUGUCUUUCCCUCAACAAAGGAAUGCAUUUGAUUGUGGAUCUAACUGACAUAUCUACCACAGGAAUAGGCAUAGACCUGUAAGUCCCCUG
rnacentral:lncRNA from 1 species